rnacentral:rRNA from 1 species
AUCGGUACGGGUUGUGGGAGCAAGAGCCCGGAGAUGGAUUCUGAGACACGAAUCCAGGCCCUACGGGGCGCAGCAGGCGCGAAAACUUUACAAUGCGAGCAAUCGUGAUAAGGGAACUCCGAGUGCCCGUAAAAUCGGGCUGUCCGCCAGUUUAAAUCACUGGUGAAGAAAGGGCCGGGCAAGACCGGUGCCAGCCGCCGCGGUAAUACCGGCGGCUCGAGUGGUGGCCACUAUUACUGGGCUUAAAGCGUUCGUAGCUGGCUUGUUAAGUCUCUGGGGAAAUCUUCCGGCUUAACCGGAAGGCGUCUCAGGGAUACUGGCAGGCUAGGGACUGGAAGAGGUGAGAGGUACUCCAGGGGUAGGAGUGAAAUCCUGUAAUCCUUGGGGGACCACCUGUGGCGAAGGCGUCUCACCAGGACGGCUCCGACAGUGAGGAACGAAAGCUGGGGGAGCAAACCGGAUUAGAUACCCGGGUAGUCCCAGCUGUAAACGAUGCGCGUUAGGUGUAUCGGUGACCACGAGUCACCGAGGUGCCGAAGAGGAAUCGUGAAACGCGCCGCCUGGGAAGUACGGUCGCAAGGCUGAAACU